GCAGUCAGGAGCCUGCCUGGAGAGCAGGGAAUACUUUCAAAUGCAGCAGUCAGGAGCCCGCCUGGAGAGAAGGGAAUACUUUCAAGCGCAACAGUCAGUAGCCCGCCUGGAAAACAAGGAAGUACAGUUUAAAUUUAGCUUUCAAAUUCUUUGUCUUGUCUAUUUUGAAAUUAGGAGCCCGCCUGGAGAGCAAGGAAUACAUUCAAAUUUAGCAGUCAGGAGUCCGCUUGGAGAGUAGGGAAUACAUUUCAAGUCAGCAGUCAGGAACCCGCCUGAAUAGCAGGGAAUACAUUCAAGUUCAGCAGUCAGGAGCCCGCCUGGAGAGCAGGGAACACAUUUCCAGUCAGCAAUCAGGAGCCCAGCUGGAGAACAAGGGAGUACAAUUCAAGUUUUAGCUUUCAAGUUCUUGUUGAUAUUCGGAUCCCGCCUGGAUAGCGU
rnacentral:lncRNA from 1 species